rnacentral:rRNA from 1 species
AUGGCCACGCUCCGGCACGCUCUCCUCACUCCGUCCCCGCUCUGCUGCUGCUCGCACGCUCUCCUCCACCCAAGGGCCAGGAAGAUAUCUCCGAGGUUUCCACAUGGGGCCUUCUCCACGGCGAAGCCGUUCUUGCGGCGCGAGCUCUCGGAGAGGGGCGGGGCCUUGGCGCGGAGAAUGGCGGGCGGGCGGCGCCUUGGCGUGGCCGGGGCCGGGAAAGGCCCCUUCUUUGGCGGCGGGCGGCGGCAGGGGUCGACCGGCCGCGGCCGGGUCGUGGGGAACCUCGCCUUCGUCGCCCUCGUGGCCUACCUCGUGGUGAGCGGCCAGUUCCGGUGGCUGCUCGACGCCAUCGUCUCCCUCUGGCUCCUCACGGUACUUCUGCCUAUUGUGGGUCUCGGUGCGCUCAUAUUCUUUGCACAACGAAAUAUACUUCAGAGCGAUUGUCCCAACUGUGGAAAAAGCUUCCGGAUACUGAAGACAUCUGUGAAGAAUGGUCCACAAUUCUGUCCUUAUUGCACUCAACCUUUUUCUGUUCAGGGCGAUAAGUUUGUCAGAGAAGCUGCUAGCUUUUCCUCUGGAAGGACCCCUACAAAUGCACAACAAGCCUUCAAUGAGUUAUUCAACCGUGGAUCAAAUGGAAAAGCACCUUCUGGUUCUGGGACGAUUGUAGAUGUUGAGGCUGAAGUCACGGACAUCGAGUGA